AUUGAACGCUGGCGGCAGGCCUAAGACAUGCAAGUCGAGCGAGAAAGCCCUUCGGGGUGAGUACAGCGGCGGACGGGUGAGUAACGCGUAGGAAUCUACCCAGUAGUGGGGGACAACUAGUGGAAACGCUAGCUAAUACCGCAUACGCCCUAAGGGGGAAAGCGGGGGAUCUUCGGACCUCGUGCUAUUGGAUGAGCCUGCGUAAGAUUAGCUUGUUGGUGAGGUAAUGGCUCACCAAGGCUACGAUCUUUAGCUGGUCUGAGAGGAUGAUCAGCCACACCGGGACUGAGACACGGCCCGGACUCCUACGGGAGGCAGCAGUCGGGAAUAUUGCGCAAUGGGGGAAACCCUGACGCAGCCAUGCCGCGUGUGUGAAGAAGGCCCUAGGGUUGUAAAGCACUUUCAAUUGGGAGGAAAAGCUAAUGGUUAAUAGCCAUUAGCCCUGACGUUACCUUUAGAAGAAGCACCGGCUAACUCCGUGCCAGCAGCCGCGGUAAUACGGAGGGUGCAAGCGUUAAUCGGAAUUACUGGGCGUAAAGCGCGCGUAGGCGGCUCUUUAAGUCGGAUGUGAAAGCCCCGGGCUCAACCUGGGAACUGCAUCCGAUACUGGAGGGCUAGAGUGUAGGAGAGGGAGGUAGAAUUCCAUGUGUAGCAGUGAAAUGCGUAGAUAUAUGGAGGAAUACCAGUGGCGAAGGCGGCCUCCUGGCUUAACACUGACGCUGAGGUGCGAAAGCGUGGGGAGCAAACGGGAUUAGAUACCCCGGUAGUCCACGCCGUAAACGAUGUCUACUAGCUGUAGGGGUACUUGAGACCUUUGUAGCGCAGCUAACGCACUAAGUAGACCGCCUGGGGAGUACGGCCGCAAGGUUAAAACUCAAAUGAAUUGACGGGGGCCCGCACAAGCAGUGGAGCAUGUGGUUUAAUUCGAUGCAACGCGAAGAACCUUACCAGGCCUUGACAUCCCCGGAACUUUCUAGAGAUAGAUUGGUGCCUUCGGGAACCGGGUGACAGGUGCUGCAUGGCUGUCGUCAGCUCGUGUCGUGAGAUGUUGGGUUAAGUCCCGUAACGAGCGCAACCCUUGUCCUUAGUUGCCAGCACAUAAUGGUGGGAACUCUAAGGAGACUGCCGGUGACAAACCGGAGGAAGGUGGGGACGACGUCAAGUCAUCAUGGCCCUUACGGCCUGGGCUACACACGUGCUACAAUGGCUAGGACAGACGGCUGCAAACCAGCGAUGGGGAGCUAAUCCGACAAACCUAGUCGUAGUCCGGAUUGGAGUCUGCAACUCGACUCCAUGAAGUCGGAAUUGCUAGUAAUCGCGAAUCAGAAUGUCGCGGUGAAUACGUUCCCGGGCCU
rnacentral:rRNA from 1 species